UCUUCCGUAGUAUAGUGGUCAGUAUGUGAGCUUGUCAUUCAAUCCGACAUCGCUCGAGACCCGGGUUCAAUUCCCGGCGGGAGAG